UACAGAGGGGGGCAAGCGUUGUUCGGAAUUACUGGGCGUAAAGGGCGCGUAGGCGGCCUGUUAAGUCGAACGUGAAAUCCCCGGGCUCAACCCGGGAACUGCGUCCGAUACUGGCAGGCUUGAAUCCGGGAGAGGGAUGCGGAAUUCCAGGUGUAGCGGUGAAAUGCGUAGAUAUCUGGAGGAACACCGGUGGCGAAGGCGGCAUCCUGGACCGGUAUUGACGCUGAGGCGCGAAAGCCAGGGGAGCAAACGGGG
rnacentral:rRNA from 1 species